GCCGGCGUCGCAUAAUCUGGUAUUGCGCGAGGCUCGAACCCUCGUUUCCUUCGGGAUGUCUCGGUUCAAAUCCGAGCGCCGGCG
rnacentral:tRNA from 1 species